UACAUGAUUUUCUUUUAGUCUUUCUAGGAUCGGGUCUUAUAUUAGGGGGUCUAGGGGUGGUAUUACUUCCCAAUCCAAUCUAUUCUGCCUUUUCCUUGGGAUUGGUUCUUGUUUGUACAUCGUUAUUCUAUAUUCUAUCUAACUCCUAUUUUGUAGCUGCUGCGCAGCUACUUAUUUACGUAGGAGCUAUAAAUGUUUUAAUCAUUUUUGCUGUGAUGUUCAUGAAUGGUUCAGAAUAUUACAAAGAUUUUCAUCUUUGGACCGUAGGAGACGGAAUUACUUCGAUGGUUUGUAUAAGUCUUUUUAUUUCACUAAUUACUACUAUUUCAGAUACGUCAUGGUACGGGAUUAUUUGGACUACAAGAUCAAACCAGAUUAUAGAGCAAGAUUUUCUAAGUAAUAGUCAACAAAUUGGAAUUCAUUUAUCAACCGAUUUUUUUCUUCCAUUUGAAUUGAUUUCAAUAAUCCUUUUAGUUGCUUUAAUAGGUGCAAUUGCUGUAGCUCGUCAAUAAAAAAUUUCUAUUAAAACUUGGAAUUCAAAUAGAAUUUUGUUCUGUCUUAUCACAUUCAUUUUCCUUCAAUUCUAUUUGAAUUCCAGCUCUCUAAAUAGAAAGACUUUAGGUCAAUCUAGUACCAAUAUAUUUCUUUGUUCCAUACUUGUUAUAUACUAGUCAAUUAAAUUGGUUGAAUUGUUGUUCAUAUUGAAAGGAGUCGAGAUUGAUAAGGAGUUGUUUAAUGAUUCUCGAACAUGUACUUGUUUUGAGUGCCUAUUUAUUUUCUAUCGGUAUCUAUGGAUUGAUCACAAGUCGAAAUAUGCUAUUGCAGCCGCUGAAGCAGCCAUUGGACUGGCUAUUGUUUCAUCAAUUUACCGUAACAGAAAAUCAACUCGUAUCAAUCAAUCAAAUUUGUUGAAUAAUUAGUAUUAAUCAUCUAGAUUCUAAUAUUGAUAAAUCAAUUUUCAUUAGCAUGUUUGCUACGUAAGGUAUGAUCUUGUUUGCAAAACAUAAGAAAUCAAAGUAUUUUGGCCUCUCUCAUAUCUCAUAAACCAAUCCAGAAGGGGGUUGAUUCGAAAAUUAUGAUAACUCAUUGAUUCAUCUGGUAUCUAAAUAUAUGAUUCGUUUCUAAGUUUACUAGAUCGAAAAU